CGCCUACGGGACGCAGCAGUGAGGAAUAUUGGGCAAUGGACGCAAGUCUGACCCAGCAACGCCGCGUGAAGGAAGAAGGCUUUCGGGUUAUAAACUUCUUUUCAGGGGGAAGAGCAGAAGACGGUACCCCUUGAAUAAGCCACGGCUAACUACGUGCCAGCAGCCGCGGUAAUACGUAGGUGGCAAGCGUUGUCCGGAUUUACUGGGUGUAAAGGGCGUGCAGCCGGAGAGACAAGUCAGAUGUGAAAUCCGCAGGCUCAACCUGCGAACUGCAUUUGAAACUGUUUCCCUUGAGUAUCGGAGAG
rnacentral:rRNA from 1 species